CUCAUGUGUUACAGGUGCAAAAUUGUACCAGGCUUUUCCCUUUUGGCUUAAAUUCGUGAGUUUAUUUCUUUAAAAGUGAUCUCAGGUGCUAAGACUUUUCUAAGACAUCUAACAGGAAUGGUGUAGUUUUAAGAACAGGGGCCCUUUAAAAUCAGGGUUGGGAUGGGGCGGGCAGCGUAUGGCUAGAGCUCAACCAACUCCCAUCUGGGAAGCUCCAUGCUCCCAGCUGACCCAGAAUAAGAAAGGCCCUGUUUGCAGGAGGUGAGUUGGUAGGCCAGGUUUUACAAAUUGACGUCAAUCAUUAAUCCACUUAAUUUUGAAUUACCAAUUCAACCGAUAUUCUGAUAGUGCUGGCUGCUGGCAAUCUGGGCUGUAGGAGACAUUGCCUUUGAUCUGUCAGUUCAAUUUCCAUUAGCAGUAAAAACCACAGACCUCUGCUGGGCCACAGGAUGGAGAGUUCUGAUGUCUCCAGGAGUCUUGCAGGAGCUCUAAGCUGCUUGCUUGUCCUGAUGCUGAAAAAGAUCUGGGUAGUGUCUCCAUAAGGAGUCAUCACGAAUCUGUUAACUCAUUAGCUCUGCACACAUUUCCAGCAUUGGGCUAGGCACUGAGACACUGGGAGGAGUAAGUUAUUUCAACCAGUCAGAGAGACAGGUAUGUGAACAGGCAAUUGCAGCACACAGGACUGGAUACAUGCCUGAAGGCAGAAGUACAGGCAGCCGUGGGCCCUUUGAGGUGGGGCAAUCAAGGAAGACUUCCCAGAGGUGGUGAUGCCUAAGCUGAGACUUGAAGCUAGGGUAGGAGAUAGCUGGAAGAUGGGCAGAAAAGCACAGGCAAGCUAAGAAGGAACUUCUAAACCCUGGGAAAGAGCUUGGAAUUUUGUCCAAAGGCAAGAGGAGCCAUUGAUCGGUCUUAAGAAGGGGUGAGUUACAGGAGUAGAUUCAUAUUCUAGAGGUCAAAGCAUGAAGAGGGCAGGAGAAUGGGCAAGAAUGGAAGCAGAGAGACCAGCUUGGAGUAUGAUGUUAACAGGGAUACUGCCGGUGGGGGCAUUUUGGGUUAAACAAAGCCUAACGUGAGUGUGUGUGCUGUCAGGGGGUGCAAGGGAUAUCCUGCCCUUACACCCCCCGUGAAGAACAUGAGGAGCCCCCAGGGCCACUAAAGGCAGGCCCCAUGGCAUCUAUCUGAGCCUGAGCCCACUGAGCCCCUCCUCAGAGGUGAAAACUCUCUGGGAAGUAAAGAUAGCCAGGAGAAAAGAGCUCAGAAGACAGAUGGAGGGCAGAGUGCUCCUGUCUUAAGUCUCAUAAGAUUUAAUUAAACUGUUGGAUAGCUUUGGGGACAGAAAAUUGAGGAAAGAAUUUCACUUGUAUCCUAAGUGAACUAACCUAGAAAAAAAAUUUUCCUUGGACUCCAGACAUGCAUCAGGUAAGAGCUGGCCCAGGGAAGCCAUGGACAGUUGUGUAGGCUGUGCACACAACCAGAUGGCCAUGGUGGGUGACCCUGGGUAGCAUAUAACUUCUGUCAAGCAUCAGAACAUCUUGGCCUUAGUGUUAGAGACUAUAUUUUCUUUCACAAAAAUGAUUUUAAUGCGAAUAUCAUGUAUUGAUCCUUGAAAAAAAUUAAUUGAACACUUACUAUGUGCCAGCUCUGUUGCAUGCUUCCACGUGUUAGCUCACUUAAUUUCCCCAUCCCUUGACAAGUAGGCUUCAUUACGUCCAUUAUCAAUAAUGGGAAAAUUGAGGCUCAGAGACUGUAAAUCACUGGGGCAGGGUCACACGGCUGAUAAGUGUCAGGAAUUGUCAAAGUGUGACUGGUAAAUCCAGCCAUGGCUGGGACACCCUUUAAGGGUUGCAGGGGUGGAGAAGCACAGAUUUGGGAGCUGGUGAAAUGUCGGGCUCUGCAGUGGCAUUCGGCAACACGAGCAAGCAGGGAGGCAUCUGGGAGAAGUUAGAAGCUCUCUGUGUGCAGAGUCCUGCUCUCUGGCCCUGCCAGCCGGCAGCUGUCUUUAUCAGGCUGUUUAAUGGGAAGGCACUGCCCAUCAGCUGAGGUAGCACAUUCCUGAUUUCUGCACAUCUUCCCAGCACUUUGACAACACUUUUCACUCAGAUGAAUCUACUUACCUACCUUUCGCAAGAAACCAAGUGAGGCGCUGCCUGCAUGGAAAGCCUAGAAGGGGAGAGGUUGUCUUACCUGUCCUACCUCUAACCACUUUCCGUGGAGAGUCUGUGGCAGGUGGAUUGGAGGAGCCCAGCGGUGAAGGAGCUGCUGAGAGUCAACAAGAUAGGCAUGGCAAAUUGCACCUCUGCCAUUGUUGUCUGCUCUACAGGGAUUCCCAAGGCCAUGGAGAUGGGAGGCUGCCCCACGACAGACAAUGGUAAAUGUUGGCCCCAGAGAAAUGGAAUGAAAUGGUAAGAAUGUUGCUUAUCAUUCAGUGGGCACAAACCAAAACAUUCUGGCACCAUCUCCAAGAAGGUGACAUUUAGCAUCCUUUUGGGUGAUACAUUAUGCAGACAGACUGCUUUGCCCUGGGGGUGGCCAGAAAGAGAAUGGAUUCCCCCUUCUGAUUUCAUACUGAGUUACAGGGAUGAUGAUGGGUGUGUAGGUGGGGGGUAGCCUGCAUUCUGUGCUGAGCCCCUUGCCAGGCACCUUGGUUAUUUUAUAUAGCCUUCUUGGCCACCCUCUGGGCUAACUAAUAGCACCCACAUUUUACAGAGGACACUGUGGCUCGAAGAUUGAACACAUCGUCCACAAUGUCAGCAGUGGAGUGGCAUGCUCACUCCUGACUCAUUCCAAGGGGUGUCCUUUCCAUGUGGCUGUGGG
rnacentral:lncRNA from 10 species